UACGGAGGGUGCAAGCGUUAUCCGGAUUUAUUGGGUUUAAAGGGUGCGUAGGUGGGUCUGUAAGUCAGUGGUGAAAUCUCCGAGCUUAACUCGGAAACUGCCAUUGAUACUAUAGAUCUUGAAUUAUCUGGAGGUGAGCGGAAUAUGUCAUGUAGCGGUGAAAUGCUUAGAUAUGACAUAGAACACCAAUUGCGAAGGCAGCUCACUACGGAUUGAUUGACACUGAGGCACGAAAGCGUGGGGAUCAAACAGG
rnacentral:rRNA from 1 species